rnacentral:rRNA from 1 species
GAUGAACGCUGGCGGCGUGCCUAAUACAUGCAAGUCGAGCGAACGGACGAGAAGCUUGCUUUUCUGAUGUUAGCGGCGGACGGGUGAGUAACACGUGGAUAACCUACCUAUAAGACUGGGAUAACUUCGGGAAACCGGAGCUAAUACCGGAUAAUAUUUUGAACCGCAUGGUUCAAAAGUGAAAGACGGUCUUGCUGUCACUUAUAGAUGGAUCCGCGCUGCAUUAGCUAGUUGGUAAGGUAACGGCUUACCAAGGCAACGAUGCAUAGCCGACCUGAGAGGGUGAUCGGCCACCCUGGACUGAAGCACGGUCCCAACCCCCUAGGGAAGCAACAGGUGGGAAUUUUCCGGCAAGGGCGGAAGGCCGAAGGAAGCAAGGCGGGGUGAGUGAGGAAGGUUUCGGAUUGGAAAACUCUUGUAAUUGGGAAAGAAAAUAGGGUAAAUUACUGUGCACAUCUUGACGGUACCUAAUCAGAAAGCCACGGCUAACUACGUG